GCCACGGUGGUCUAGUGGCUAAGGUAUUUGGUUGCUAACCGAAAGGUCGCGGGUUUGAAUCCCGGCUGUGGCG